rnacentral:rRNA from 1 species
CAACCUGCCCUUCAGAGGGGGAUAACAACGGGAAACCGUUGCUAAUACCGCGUACGAUUCAUAGGCGGCAUCGCUUGUGAAUGAAAGGUGGCCUCUAUGUAUAAGCUAUCGCUGAAGGAGGGGAUUGCGUCUGAUUAGCUAGUUGGAGGGGUAACGGCCCACCAAGGCAAUGAUCAGUAGCCGGUCUGAGAGGAUGAACGGCCACAUUGGGACUGAGACACGGCCCAA